UCAAGAACAGGCUGAGGCUAUCUAUAGUGAUACAGAAGUGAAAUGUUUUUGAGAGCAUCCUGCUUGUGAACAGAUUCCUAUUUCCGUGAGGAGGUGACCUCGAAGAAGAGCAGCUUCUAUUCUGCUGGGAGGUGUACUGCCUUCUGGUAUCAGGCUUCUGCAUCCCGGGAAAGCUCGGGAUAACCUGAGGCACCCCCUUGAAAAACAAAAGAGCUUGAUCAGAGCAGGAGGGUCCUGUUGCACAAGCCCAGCAUCUACUAUCAGUUUCACCUAAAUCAGCUGAUACUGUCCCCAAGAUGGAACUGUACUGUCACAGGUCACACUCCAACUUGAGAAGCACUCCUUUCCCCUCUAACUACGAACAGAACUGGAGAGCUACUUUCUGGCUGGGUGACUUGGGGAAAUUUGUAAACCUCUUGAGAUGCAUCAGUAAGAUGGGCAUAAUGACAGGAAAUCAGCAGCUCCAAGAGGGCAGAAACUGUGCUCCUGUUUGCUAGCCCUGACCUCAUACCUGGUAUUCAGUAUGCAGGAAGAAGGUUUAGUAAGGCCUAAAAUUCCCCAAGGAAAGAAAGCAUGCCUCAAGACUGUGAAUGCCCUCCAGACAUUUACAACUCAUACUGAUGAUUUAGCUCCCUUUCAGUAGGGUCUUUCCUAUAUUAUUUAUUAUUUAUGUGCUGGGGCAGAGACAUGAAGAAAAUGGAGCUGUUUAGAACAGGAGUUUGCAAACUGCAAUGGCCAGUGAACCAAAUCCAGCUCACCGCUCACUGCCUGUUUUUCUAAAUAAAGUUGUAUUGGAAC